rnacentral:rRNA from 1 species
GACGAACGCUGGCGGCGUGCUUAACACAUGCAAGUCGAGCGGUAAGGCCCUUUCGGGGGUACACGAGCGGCGAACGGGUGAGUAACACGUGGGUGACCUGCCCUCAGCUCUGGGAUAAGCCUGGGAAACUGGGUCUAAUACUGGAUAUGACUCCACGGUGCAUGUCGUGGGGUGGAAAGCCUUGUGCGGCUGAGGAUGGGCCCGCGGCCUAUCAGCUUGUUGGUGGGGUGANGGCCUACCAAGGCGACGACGGGUAGCCGGCCUGAGAGGGCGACCGGCCAUACUGGGACUGAGACACGGCCCAGACUCCUACGGGAGGCAGCAGUGGGGGAAUCUUGCGCAAUGGGCGAAAGCCUGACGCAGCGACGCCGCGUGAGGGAUGACGGCC